rnacentral:lncRNA from 10 species
GUAAGAGCCAGCUGUGGCCAAUAGAACUGGGUAUAUACUUGAUCCUUGUUUACUGGGAUAAGCUCUCUGUUGCCCCAGGCAAUAAGCUGAUCUGUGAAGUGUACAGUGGUCUGAGCUCCCUGCUCAGCCCUAGGGGUUGGGGGACAAGGUAGGUGCUGCCAGAUCAGGCAGAUCCACCUCAGGUCCCCAUAUGGCUAGCACAAGCACCAGUGCCAAGAGACAAUCCAGUGGGUGGCCAGCAAGGACCCAGAGGUGUGCCUAGGUGUGAAGCUGAGAAACUGCUUCAGCCACAAGUUUUCUGCAAGGGGAAGGGAAGCAGCCUAAACUCCUAAUCCAGCAGAGUGAGUGUUCCAGAUGCCAGAAAAUCUGCCUGGGCAUGGUGUAUAGUGAACCCCAUUGCACCACAAUCUCUGCACAACAAGGGUUGGGUGGCUCAGGCUGCUGUUCCCAGUGAACAGGUGUUCUGGCUGCCUGGAGAUCUGCCUGGGUGUGGAGUGUAGACGGCCCAACUUCACCAAGAUCUCUACACAAGAUGGGUAGAGUAGCUGAAGCUGCUGAUCUGGGCAAGCAGACUUGCCCGGACUUCCUGGAGAUCUGCCUGGGCACAGAACAUAGUGGACCCCCUGCACCAAGAUCUCUGCACAGAAGGGGUGGAGAAACUCAGGCUGCUUGCCCAAACACCCAGUGUGUUGUGGUAUGUAAAAGACCCUUCCACCACAUGAAGAUGCAGCAAGAGGCACCAUCAUGGCAGCAGAAAGCAAGCCCUCACCAGACACCAAAUCUGCUGAUAACUUGGUCUUGGACUUCCCAGCCUCCAGAACUGUGAGAAAUAAAUUUCUGUUAUUUAUAAAUUAC